rnacentral:rRNA from 1 species
UUCGGUGGUUAUAGCGGAGAGGAUCCACCCGUUCCCAUCCCGAACACGGAAGUUAAGCUCUCCAGCGCCGAUGGUACUGCCCCUUAAGGGGUGGGAGAGUAGGACGCCGCCGAAA